rnacentral:rRNA from 1 species
UACAGAGGUCCCGAGCGUUGUUCGGAUUCAUUGGGCGUAAAGGGUGCGUAGGCGGCGGGGAAAGUCUGAUGUGAAAUCCUGGGGCUCAACCCUGGAACUGCAUUGGAUACUCCUUGCUAGAGUACUGGAGAGGAAACUGGAAUUUACGGUGUAGCAGUGAAAUGCGUAGAGAUCGUAAGGAAGACCAGUGGCGAAGGCGAGUUUCUGGACAGUUACUGACGCUGAGGCACGAAGGCCAGGGGAGCAAACGGG